rnacentral:rRNA from 1 species
GAUGAACGCUGGCGGCGUGCCUAAUACAUGCAAGUCGAGCGAACAGAUGAGGAGCUUGCUCCUCAGACGUUAGCGGCGGACGGGUGAGUAACACGUGGAUAACCUACCUAUAAGACUGGGAUAACUUCGGGAAACCGGAGCUAAUACCGGAUAAUAUAUUGAACCGCAUGGUUCAAUAGUGAAAGACGGUUUUGCUGUCACUUAUAGAUGGAUCCGCGCCGCAUUAGCUAGUUGGUAAGGUAACGGCUUACCAAGGCAACGAUGCGAAGCCGACCUGAGAGGGUGAUCGGCCACACUGGAACUGAGACACGGUCCAGACUCCUACGGGAGGCAGCAGUAGGGAAUCUUCCGCAAUGGGCGAAAGCCUGACGGAGCAACGCCGCGUGAGUGAUGAAGGUCUUCGGAUCGUAAAACUCUGUUAUUAGGGAAGAACAAAUGUGUAAGUAACUAUGCACGUCUUGACGGUACCUAAUCAGAAAGCCACGGCUAACUACGUG